AUACGGAGGGUGCAAGCGUUAAUCGGAAUUACUGGGCGUAAAGGGCGCGUAGGCGGUUAAAUCAGUCAGAUGUGAAAGCCCCGGGCUUAACCUGGGAAUGGCAUUUGAUACUGUUUAGCUAGAGUUUGGUAGAGGGGAGUGGAAUUUCCGGUGUAGCGGUGAAAUGCGUAGAGAUCUGAAGGAACAUCAGUGGCGAAGGCGGCUCUCUGGACCAAAACUGACGCUGAGGUGCGAAAGCGUGGGUAGCAAACAGGAUUAGAAACCCCAGUAGUCC
rnacentral:rRNA from 1 species